CUUUAAAUUCACGAGUCCCAAAUAGGACGAAACGUGCGUCCUAGAU
rfam:Schistosoma mansoni strain Puerto Rico chromosome W, complete genome